rnacentral:rRNA from 1 species
CCUACGGGAGGCAGCAGUGAGGAAUAUUGGACAAUGGGCGCAAGCCUGAUCCAGCCAUGCCGCGUGCAGGAAGAAGCAUCUAUGGUGUGUAAACUGCUUUUGUACAGGAAGAAACACUCCCUCGUGAGGGAGCUUGGCGGUACUGUAAGAAUAAGGACCGGCUAACUCCGUGCCAGCAGCCGCGGUAAUACGGAGGGUCCGAGCGUUAUCCGGAAUCAUUGGGUUUAAAGGGUCCGUAGGCGGUUUAAUAAGUCAGUGGUGAAAUCUGGUCGCUCAACGAUCAAACGGCCAUUGAUACUGUUAGACUUGAAUUAUAAGGAAGUAACUAGAAUAUGUAGUGUAGCGGUGAAAUGCUUAGAUAUUACAUGGAAUACCAAUUGCGAAGGCAGGUUACUACUUAUGGAUUGACGCUGAUGGACGAAAGCGUGGGGAGCGAACAGGAUUAGAUACCCUGGUAGUCCACGCCGUAAACGAUGGAUACUAGCUGUUCGGAGCAAUCUGAGUGGCUAAGCGAAAGUGAUAAGUAUCCCACCUGGGGAGUACGUUCGCAAGAAUGAAACUCAAAGGAAUUGACGG